rnacentral:lncRNA from 1 species
AAUGAUCUCCUAUUAUCCACUCCCCCAUGCGUGUAGUUUAUCCCUAAUUUUUCUCUCUCCGAUUUUAACUAUGGGGUCUGUUCUCUAAUCUCUCUCUCUCGAUCUCUCCUCCUAUUUAAUCUCCACAUCUCUGAUUUUAAGGCCGGAUAGUUGUGCUUUCUCUAAUCCUUUCCCCCGAUCUUAAAGGAUAGAUGGCCCGUACUUUGUGUUGGAUGCAUAGUCAAAAUCAAAGCGAUCAAAUCAUGAGGAUCAGUACAUAUGUUCAUGAGUGCAUGCAUGGGCGAAAAAGGAAAGGAAUUAAAGCACACCUCGCUGGGGACAUCAAUCCAAAUCGGCAGCGCAUCCUCCUCCAUCUCUUCUCUCUCUGCCACCGUCUAAAGGUCAAUUGUUGUUACAUCUAAAUAAACACAUCAUGUUCAUGUUCGUAUGCGUUCUGUUUCAGGCCAUAAAGAUCAAUAAAGUACAGGCUCAACAGGGAGAAUGUAUAUGUCAUAUGCUCAGGAGGUUGCAUGCAUCUCUUCUAAGGAUUGGUCGUUGUUCAGACAAGUAUGCCCUUAAUUCUGUUGCGAACUUUCCAUCAAUCAUGUCUUUUAUGUGCGGAUGCUGACAGCCGAAAGAAAUUGAUCUCCGUUGCCGUUACGUACGUACUUACCGACUAGCGCAUCUGGUCGGAAUCACUCAAGCUGCUUGGGAUGUCAUCUUACUACAUGUACGUGCCAUUGUGUGCAAUGUGAGUUGCAAGCUACGCCAAAAUCCUCUCUUCUCGCGGUCAACAUCUGCCAAUCUGCUCCUUUUCUCUGGCUUAAUGUCGCUAAAUCUGAUGGUCUUCUUCAGCUUCUCACGGCGGAUAUCUAAGAUGGCACCGCUACAUAGAUAUCUGCUGCGGGAGCUAAGUCCUAGCUAUUUACUUGGACGUACAAGUCGGCCUCCAGAACAUGUAGCCGCGCACAAGCGAUGCUUCAUGGAAAUCGCAGUAUUGUUUUUUCGAGCGUACCUGUUGAUUUUGUGUGCACUCAAGUAUAGUUACUCUCUAAUACAUGUAUUGCAAUUUCUCUAUAGCCGAUUAUGAAUGAAACAUACAAUGUUUUAAAUGCAUGUCUCUUUGCUAUGUAUUUCUAUACCGGUGGUGUCGCCAUGCAACCCAGAUUUAUGGCAUGAGAAGCUAAAACAUAUUAGUGAAGGUUUUACCACAAACUUCGUUACAUGAACAUUGACACCUACCAGAAGAUAUAUACAUUUAUGUAUUAAUAGAUCAUUUUCUUUGAUGAAUUUUGAUAGUAUGUUCUGUUAUCAUUCAUGAUGAAACACGAUGAUACAAAAAUAUGUAGAUGUACUUUUCUUUGAGAUUGGGUUGUUACAAUAGAAAAUUUGCCAAAAUUGUUUUGUAGAAGUGUGAUUAUUUUAUUUGUAAUUAGUCGGUGCUAAUUUGUUAGCAAAACUGCAUAUAUUGGUAUCAGCAGACUAUAUCUGUAUAUAGAUUUAGCACAAAUUUACCAAAGGAAACUUAAGGUUACGAUUAUUUUAGGCGCGCAAGCUAUUGAAGAAUGAUUUUGGUUAUACUAAUAUUAGAAUGUACAGCAAACCUGCAAAUUCUGCUGCAAAUAUAUACUUCCGUACAUAUAGACUAGAAAAACUUGACGAUGACCGACCACUUUCACAAUAUUAGUAAUCAACAAGUUUCUUGCUAUAUUAUAUUCGUUAAUAAACAUAGUGAUAUAUAAAUCUGUGGAGCAACAUUAAUUCCUCAACUUUUAUUGGUUACUAUCACCAUCAAAGAUGACUUUGGUCACAACAUCAUGUAAUUAGAAGAUUGUAACUUUUGUAAAGUUUAACAUUAUUGUACACAGGCAUGGUAUCUUUCAUAUUUUUAGUGCUAAAUUAUUCAAGAAUUUAAUGUUAGCAUCACUUUAUAUGGUUCACAAAUUUUAAUAUCAGAUUGACUUCGUUUAUUAAUUUGUCGGAGAAAAGAUGAUAAUUAUAUACUGCCUUUUUACAACGACACAAGCUAUUGCAUGACGAUGUUGAUUCUACUAAGAUGGAACAACCACAGUAGUAUUAUAACCGAAUAUGAAGCAUCUAAGUUACUGUAUUCUACAGAUAAAUUAAACAUUUCCUUAACAUGUAUACCACAAAUAAGUAUAAUAAUCGAGCCACCCUAUUUUGUUAAAAAAAGGAAAUAAAAUAUAUCAUUGCAUAACUUUGAUUACAGUUAGAAGUUAAAAUGAUUAUUUGAUAAAAUUGAACCACAAGUAACUUUUGUGGGUCUAGCCGUGUGAGCGCACGGGUUGACGACUAGUAAUACUAAUCUUAAGGACACGACAUUAGAACGGGUCCUACUGUGUAGGGAAGUAUAGACUAGUCAUCCAAUCCCUACGGUCUGCGGCUUGGCAAGCGGGGUGAUAUUCCCCUCGAUAGGAGCUUCACCAUGGCCGAGUUAGGACUCACAUCCUAGAUUUGGACCAAGAUGGGCUCUUUAGUUUCCCUUGGUGUCCAAAGGCUUCAUUAGCUUGAACUUCAAUGCUUCUUGACAUAGUUGAUGUAGCCGACAGAGGAGCGGUGGUUGACUUCUACUGGUUCUUCUCCUUCGUUGUGGCUUCCCAACCAUGGCGGUUCUUCGUCCGUCUUGGGUAGAGUUGACUUCUACUGCUUGGAGAUUGCUUUGACCAGUCCCUAUUCUCAAGGUAAUACCUUACUCUUGAGAGGCAUGGCGACCGGUGUUCCUCGGGCCCGUCCAAACUUGACUAAGGUGUUCCUCCUAUUAUUGAGUGAUCAAGUAUGUCAUCCAUGAGGAUAGAAACAUACUUGCCCAAGCAUCACAAAAGCGCAAUGCUCAUGAGAUGGGUGAGAGGAGCGGGUGUUUGUGGUCCAAGCUAAUCUAGUUCUUCAUAGACAUGAUUGGUGAUGGUCAGGGCGGAGAAUUUUCCAUAGUGUAACGACUUAGAGCCGUUUUUAUGGUCUUUACCCGACCAAUUUAUGAUUCGGUGAAGCUUUGGGGUUUCAAGUAACUUAGGAUGUGAGUGAACAUCCAUCAUCUUAUCCUUAAGCACAUUCCUUAGAUGCCAACGGUCUAGCCCCUAUAUCUGGACAAAAAUCACCCUAUAUCAUCGAAGUUACCAACUCACCUAAGUCAACUCCACACUAGUCCCUCUAGUCAACUCCAAGGUCCGAGGAAAGGACCUAAUCCAAAACAUCAUAAGUAUACUAUAGCUAAGUUUCGGUGAUGCUACGUCGACACCUAUGUGAAUCAACGUGAAACCCUUGUGAUCAUAGGGCGGGAAAGGUGACGUCAAGAGCGGAGCUAACGAUCAGCACCCGACAAGCCUUUUUACCUAGGUUCGGGCCACUUACGCGUAAAACCCUACGUCGUGCUUGUGUGGUUGUAUUAAGCGUUUUUGGUGUUUGUUACAGUGACUGAUGAUAACCGUCUUCUGGCCAAUAUCCCAAGAGUCUAACCCGUUGUGAAUGAGCUAAGGGCCUCCUUUUAUAGACAAAGGGGUCACCUACAGUGCUCGGUGGUAGGUUCGCGAGAAGUUAUAGUGAACCUAGAGCGGUGCUUAUCCAUCUAUCGCUGUCAGGUGCAUUAAAUGCACAUCUUGUCCUCGUCAGUGAUAUGCUUGUGAAUACACGUAUUCGGGUGUUUCGACACCUGGACGUUGCGCUAGCGCAAGCAGAAUGCGCUGGAACUUGGGGGGCGAUGGCACUGUGGCAAGGGCGGUUGCCCUCCAGUGCCUGGCCCCAUCAUCCCGGCAAGGGAGCUUGCCGGGGGCUUCCGUUGUCAUCUCGGCAAGGGAGGCUUGCCGAGGUCUUGUACUUGAUGAGUUCAUCACGCGCACCAAAUGGGCGUAGCCUUGGUCAUCCUCCUGGGAAGGCAGGCUUGUCGAGGCCUUGAUUGUCUUCCCGGCAAGGAAGGCUUGCCGAGGUCUUGAUUACCUUGGAUGCAUCUCGUCUGGAUCCAACCAGCCUGUGGCGGCAGGGGCUCUUUGUGCCCGUGCACAAGUCUGGGGCACUAGGGACCCCAGUCUUUACUGCAUCGACAUGAGCCCCCAGGCCUGGGCCACACACGUGUGCGAAGCGUUGUUGGGCCAAGCCCAAAGAGGUGCACGGGCCUUCUUGGCCGGAUCUGCUAGCGGUUGCUUUUUUCCCCACGCCGCGCAUUGGAUGCGCGAAGUGGGAGGUCGUGUGCGGAGUGGCCUCUCCGCCUCCUGAAAUGCCCCUGCCACGCGCGUGGCAUGCACAAUUAUGAAUGGACAGGUGGUAGACGUGGUCUUGAAAGGCGCAAUAGUGGCUGGGACCGCCCGUGCAUGCACUGGUGCAGCAGGGCGGUUUUCUGUUUGCCCUUGAGCUCGUGCGAUUGGGCGAGAAGGGUGGUGGCUUCUGGAGUAAGGGAGGUUACCUCCCGCGCCCCGUACUAUAAAUUGGGAGGGUUUGCGAGGGGUUUUGUUCACCCAACUCCUCCUGAAUCCACCAACUCCUCUGCCUUGAUCUUUAGAAUCUUCUUCGGUCUACGGGUGGCGCUCGCCCCUAACCAUGGUUACAGGAUGGGGUCGGCCAUCGUUGACCGCCAGGGUGGCGAGGGGAUCCCGUUCGGAUCAUGCCACAACUUCUAGGGGCGCCGCGGCAGAAGAUGACUCAAGCGCCUGCGGGGGAGGAAGAGCGAGGGGCCGCGGUCGUCUGGAGGCCGAGGCCGGGGGAGGUAGAGCGCUACUCCAACGCCUCCGCCUCCCCGGGGCUUGCUCCUGAGGCAGUCCUCCAUGUUGCUUUAGGGGCACCCACGUGUGCUUCUCGGCUGCUGUGAAGGGAGCCGGAGCGACGCCGGCUGUCCUACCUCGAGCGAUAGCGACGAGGAGGAUAGCGGUGGUUGUGAGGUCAGUGUUGGGUUAGGGCCACGGGGUGUCAAGUUGGAGGUCGACUCCCCGGGCCCCAACUGGACGUAGACCGCACCACAGUGGCUAGCUCAUGGCUCNAAUGUAUAUGUCAUAUGCUCAGGAGGUUGCAUGCAUCUCUUCUAAGGAUUGGUCGUUGUUCAGACAAGUAUGCCCUUAAUUCUGUUGCGAACUUUCCAUCAAUCAUGUCUUUUAUGUGCGGAUGCUGACAGCCGAAAGAAAUUGAUCUCCGUUGCCGUUACGUACGUACUUACCGACUAGCGCAUCUGGUCGGAAUCACUCAAGCUGCUUGGGAUGUCAUCUUACUACAUGUACGUGCCAUUGUGUGCAAUGUGAGUUGCAAGCUACGCCAAAAUCCUCUCUUCUCGCGGUCAACAUCUGCCAAUCUGCUCCUUUUCUCUGGCUUAAUGUCGCUAAAUCUGAUGGUCUUCUUCAGCUUCUCACGGCGGAUAUCUAAGAUGGCACCGCUACAUAGAUAUCUGCUGCGGGAGCUAAGUCCUAGCUAUUUACUUGGACGUACAAGUCGGCCUCCAGAACAUGUAGCCGCGCACAAGCGAUGCUUCAUGGAAAUCGCAGUAUUGUUUUUUCGAGCGUACCUGUUGAUUUUGUGUGCACUCAAGUAUAGUUACUCUCUAAUACAUGUAUUGCAAUUUCUCUAUAGCCGAUUAUGAAUGAAACAUACAAUGUUUUAAAUG